CUUCUCAAAAUCCUAUGAAGAAAAAAAAACCCCAAUUCUCUGUCUUUUUUCCCCGUUGCGAAGCAUGAAGCUAGCUCUCCGACCCUUCUUCCAAAACCUUAUUCUUCCCCCCUUCAUUUCUUAACCUAUCCUCCCCUUUAACCCUAAUUCUCCUCUCUUUCAAACCCUAGCCUCUGAAUUUCUUCAAUCUUCCGUCUUGGAUCCAAAAUCGGUUCCCGCCGUCAAAGCUUUCUCC
rnacentral:lncRNA from 1 species